UGGGGAAUAUUGCACAAUGGGCGCAAGCCUGAUGCAGCCAUGCCGCGUGUGUGAAGAAGGCCUUCGGGUUGUAAAGCACUUUCAGCGGGGAGGAAGGCGGUGAGGUUAAUAACCUCAUCGAUUGACGUUACCCGCAGAAGAAGCACCGGCUAACUCCGUGCCAGCAGCCGCGGUAAUACGGAGGGUGCAAGCGUUAAUCGGAAUUACUGGGCGUAAAGCGCACGCAGGCGGUCUGUCAAGUCGGAUGUGAAAUCCCCGGGCUCAACCUGGGAGCUGCAUUCGAAACUGGCAGGAUAGAGUCUUGUAGAGGGGGGUAGAAUUCCAGGUGUAGCGGUGAAAUGCGUAGAGAUCUGGAGGAAUACCGGUGGCGAAGGCGGCCCCCUGGACAAAGACUGACGCUCAGGUGCGAAAGCGUGGGGAGCAAACAGG
rnacentral:rRNA from 1 species